AGUGAACGCUGGCGGUAGGCCUAACACAUGCCAGUCGAACGGCAGCACAGUAAGAGCUUGCUCUUACGGGUGGCGAGUGGCGGACGGGUGAGGAAUACAUCGGAAUCUACUUUUUCGUGGGGGAUAACGUAGGGAAACUUACGCUAAUACCGCAUACGACCUACGGGUGAAAGCAGGGGAUCUUCGGACCUUGCGCGAUUGAAUGAGCCGAUGUCGGAUUAGCUAGUUGUCGGGGUAAGGGCCCACCAAGGCGACGAUGCGUCGGUGGCCUGAGAGGAUGGUCGGCCACCAUGGAGCGGAGGAACGGUGCAGACUCCUACGGGGGGCAGCAGUGGGGAAGAUUGGUGAAUGGGCGCAAGCCUGAUCCUGCAAUACCGCGUGGGUGAAGAUGGCCUUCUGCUUGUUAAGACCUUUUGUUGGGAAAGAAAAGCAGCAGCUUAAUUCCCCGCUGUUCUGACGGUACCUAAAGAAUAAGCACCGGCUAACUUCGUG
rnacentral:rRNA from 1 species